CCUACGGGUGGCAGCAGUGAGGAAUAUUGGUCAAUGGGCGAGAGCCUGAACCAGCCAAGUCGCGUGAAGGAUGACGGCCCUACGGGUUGUAAACUUCUUUUGUCAGGGAGCAAUUGGGUCCACGCGUGGGCUUAGCGAGAGUACCUGAAGAAAAAGCAUCGGCUAACUCCGUGCCAGCAGCCGCGGUAAUACGGAGGAUGCGAGCGUUAUCCGGAUUUAUUGGGUUUAAAGGGUGCGUAGGCGGAAUAUCAAGUCAGCGGUAAAAUUUCGGGGCUCAACCCCGGCGUGCCGUUGAAACUGGUUUACUAGAGUGGGCGAGAGGUAGGCGGAAGGCGUGGGGAAGAGGUGAAAUGAGUAGAUAUAAGGAAGAA
rnacentral:rRNA from 1 species